rnacentral:lncRNA from 1 species
AGCGUUUGCGCUGGCUGUCGUCGCGUCUGUGUGCGCUCCCCCUUCUUCUGAGCCCCGGCCUGGCGGCGCCCGCCUUCGCCUCCGCCACUCCGCCUCUUCCCUCCUCUGGUCGGUCCCUUUUUCCUCGCCGUCUUCACUUGCUUCUUCACCUCCUCGCCGCCGCCCAAGACCGCCGGCCCCGGGACGAGCUCUGGGGAAGCAGCCAGGUAAGGCGGCCGGUCCGGGCCGGGUCGGAGCGGGUCGCGGAAGGACCCACGCAGGCACGGCGUCAGCGGGAGGUGGGCGGCGGGUGGGCUAGGCCUUGCGGGCGCGCGAGCCGCGGCCCAGGCCCGUCUCCGCCUGCGGGGCCUUCCCGGAGGAGGCGGGCCCUCCGCGCCGCUCGUGGGCCCUGUGCCGGAGUUAACGCGGGGGGCGCGGGCGGGCAGGGGCAGCGUCGGUCCGGAGGCCCCCCGGGUUUCGGUGCUAUGCACAGUGUCGCGGCCAGUGCCGAGCCGCGGGAUGAGGUGCCAAUUCCCGGCUCGGCCCCCUUCGUCAGUCACUUCGUAUUCUUUGUGUCUCUGUUAUGAGGGGGAGAAGGAGGGGGAAUAGUAUUAAUCCUGUCCCAACCCGGUCCCUGCCUCUUCAGGCUGUGAAGUUGUGCAGUGAAAUGGGGCGUGUAAAGUGCUUAUCAGUGUGCCAGACCCACGUCGUGUCCCAAUAAGCCGUUUGCAUAAUUUAUUAAGAUGAUAUGAAGGUAUAAUUUAGGGUGCAGACGGAACAUAAGUUGACCUUCCUUUCCACUAGGGUUUUCUCCGAGGCAGAAGAAUCCCGCGUGCCCACUGGCAGUGCCUGAGCAUUGUGCUCGCUUGGCACCAGAGAGGGGCGGGCGCUUAAUGGGGACACUGUAGCAGACAGGGUAUGGAUGUAAAGCCAUCAUCAUGUCUGUGAAACCAGCUGUAGGGACUUCACCGGCUCCCCUAGGCUCCGCACCCUGUCCCAUGUCUCCCUGCCACCAUCCAGAACCUUAUUGCCAUUCCUUUUUAUGAGAAAGUUGCUGGCAUAAGCUUCUCUUGGGUUUAGCAGACCUUUUUGGAGCCUUCUUGUGUGUCAGGCUCUGGAGGUGGAGUAUGCAAAGAUUCGAAAACCGUGGUUUCCUGGUUCGCAUCUGUAGCUCUUAACUUUCUUUAGCUGAGGCCCUCCCUAGUUAUCAGUUUCUCUUAAGCUCUGGCCUCACCUCCCUACUUAUGGGCGAAGCUUUUAUUUUGUUCCGUUUUGCGUUUUGCCCAUUGUAUUGUAUGCCUUUUUUAAGGUCACUGUUUUCAAUUGCUUGUAGCUGUAAUAAUUCUGUUUGCUUGCUUGCUUGCUUGCUUGCUUGAGACGUGGUUUCUCGGCACAGUCCUGGCUCUCCUGGAAGAAGAAGCUUGUGCUGUAGACCAGGCUGAGUAGCGGUAAUUCUUGAGAAUUGGAAGUGUUGGAAGAGAUUUAAACUGGGAUUUUGAUCUUUCAGGGAUUUGUACUUACCAAAUGUAAAUUACAUCACUACUUGUUGAAGCAAAAACUAAAAAUACAUUUGGGGAGUGUGGAGGAAGAAGUCUUGGCCAUUCUAGUGAACUUUUAGGAGACUGUCUUUAUUCUGACUCAGCCUUGAUUUUCUUUAGUAAGAUUAAGUAACUUUUUUUUAAUUUAUUUUUUAUUUUUUUAUUUUUUGUUUUUUCCAGACAGGGUUUCUCUGUAUAGCCCUGGCUGUCCUGGAACUCACUCUGUAGACCAGGCUGGCCUCAAACUCAGAAAUCCGCCUGCCUCUGCCUCCCAAGUGCUGGGAUUAAACGUGCGUGCUACCAUUUUAUUUUUGAGCAUUAUAUCAGCAGCAGCUGUUGUGGAAGUCAGAGCACAACUUGUGAGAUUCAGUAGGUUGCCAGGUUCCUUGCUGAAAGACUUGACAUACAGAGCCAUCUCAAUACCUCAAAAAAAAAAUUUUUUUUUUUUUAAAUCUGUGCUUAGUGUCAUAGGCAUCCCCCUCCUUAAAGAUGUGCAGCUCACACAGGAGCAGAUUUACAAGAGUCACACCUCAGGUGUUUUCUGUGCUCAGUGCUUUUCUGAGUGGAGGCCGGAGGUCAGCCCCUUGUCUUCCUCGAGGGCUCUCUACCUUAUUUCCUGGAACAGUCUCUAAGCAUUUCAGCUUUUCCUGAGCUACCCAUCUCUAAAGCCUGUCGGCAGAUUUUGGGCACUCAGUUUCUUUAGUAAGUGAAAAAUGUUUAUAUUGCACCCAUCUCGAUAUUGCAAUAUUUUUGUAACAGUCAGGAAAUAGUUUCUAGCAUAAAUGGUUGAGUGUAAUGGCUUUUUUGUUUGUUUGUUUGUUUUGGAUUGUUUUGUUUUUAGAGACAGGGUUUCUCUGUGUAACAUAGCUCUCUGGCUGUCCAGGAACUUGCUUUGUAGACCAGGCUGUCUUUGAACGCAGAUAAGCCUGCCUCUGCCUCCAGAGUGCUAGGAUCAAAGGCAUUCAACAUUGGCUGUUUUUCAGUUACUCGUUAAUAGUUCAGGAACUGUUGAUUCAAUCCUUAAGGAGUAAGGCUGAAAUCUGGGCUGAAAAGUGGGAGUCCCCAAAAGAGGACUAACUCCACUAACUCUCAGCUGUUUUUCUGCUGUGUGUUAAUCAUAUUUCAACCAAGAAGCCAGAUCCCAAAAGAAAGAAAAAAUGAGAAUGAGCGAGCAAGUGAUCCCUUCCAGUAUAGUAAGAAAUUUCAUUUCAUUAACAGUUAAACAGUCAUCCUGAGGUGAGCUGGUUAACAUCAAAAUGACUAAGAUUAUGAUAGAUUUAGGAUUUGUUUCAAAACAAGCUAGCUUAAAGGAGGUUCAAGAAGAAACAAGGCCGACCUUAGCUGUGAGUUAAUAAUUGUCAAAGCUAGGUGACCAAAUACACAGUGCCCUCUAUAGCAUUCAACUUUAACACUUAAAAAUAACCUCAGGUUCUCUAUCACAGCCUUAAAGUAUCACUUCGCUGGGUCUAUCAUAAUUUGUGAUAUGGCAAAGGAUAUGUUUGGCACUAUUUGUAGAUUUGCUUGUUUAGGGACUGUUCAAAGACAGCAGACAUUAUGGCAUUAUACAGAGAGAGAUUCUAAGUUCGAGGUCUUCAUCUGCUUUCUUCCCUCGGGUCUGGGAACCCCAUGGAAGAGUGGGAGGAAAAUUUGUAGGAAUCAGAGGGACUGCAGGACUAAGCAGGAUGUGAGUAGACAGGCUUUCAGAGACAGAAGCUGCAAGCAUGGGGCCUGUAUGGUCUGCACUAGGUUCUUUGCAAACGUGUUGUAGCUGCUAGCUUGUUUUCUUGAGACUAACUGUGGGAACAGUUUUGUCUCUGAUUCUUUUGCCAGCUCUUGGGACUCUUGUCCUCUUGUGGGAUUGUCUUGUCCAGCUUUGUGAGGGCUUUCGUCUUAUUUUAUUAUAUCUUGUUUUGUUGUGUUUGAUUGUUGCCUCUUGGAGGCCUGCUGUCUUCUGAAGGGAGGCUCUGGAGGAGACAGGAGGUGUGGAGGGAGUUAAGGCUGCAGGGAAGGAAAAUUGUGGUUAGGGUGAAUUAAAUGAAAGAAGAGUAUUUUCAAUAAACAAAUAUAAACUAACAAC